ensembl:lncRNA
AUGGAUAUAGUGGAACGAGAAAAUGUAAAUGUUCCCAAUGCUGUUAUAGUGGGUGGCUUAACAUUGAGUGAAUCCGACCAAAACUUAGAAGCAUGGCUAGUACAGUAUGGCAGCAUUAGUCGUACUCUACUUAUAGAUGACCCCACAUCUGAAUUUCAUCGGCAGGCUAUAAUAGAGUUUGCACAUAGCUCUGCAAUGGCAACUCUGAAGCUUCUGUUGCCUUUGAGUAUUGUUAGCACUUCAGAUGCAGAUGUCAUAUUCACUGUGCGUGCCCUAAGCAGUGUAAAUACCCUUGUAGUUAAAGAGAAUUCUACUGAGGGUUAUUUGGCACAACUGAAAGCCAUUGCUAAUGCUACUGGCAAAUCUUUUGAAGAAGUGCUUCAAGAGGAGUUGUUAAAAAUGAGGUCAGUUGGUUCUACCACUGAGCAGUUGCCCAGCGGUCAUGUAGCAGACCCCCAAACUCAGGGACUCAGCACUGCCAGUUCCUUCAAUGACAGUGGGUCACCUGUCACAUCACAGAGAAUGGGAGAAAGCAGAGAUGGAACUUUCUCACCAAACAUUUCUCCAUUGUUGGGUGCUGGAAGCCAGAAAACUCAAAACCUGUCCAAGGAAAAUGAGAAUACUGUACCUAAUGCUGGUGGAAUUAACAGUUCUUCAACCCCAGGGAUUUCACAGCCAGUUCUGAAUAUGGAUAUAAUAAAUCCUCCUGGUGUGCAAAGAGUCGUGGUUGAGCAUGUUGUGAGGACAAGUGAUGUGACAGCUCAGCAUACUUCACUACGUCUCAGAUCUUUCUCAGGGAAAAUUCCACGUCCACCAAAUGAACCAGACUUCGAAACGUGGCGAGCAAGUGUGAAAUUCCUGCUGGACGAUCCAUCUGUUUCAGACUUGUCCCGUACCAGAAGAAUCCUAGACAGCUUGCUUCCUUCAGCUCUGGCUAAAGGGCUGGGUGCCACAGAGCGCAUAGCGCAUGGGCACCUUGCAUAUCAAAGUGACGCUCGACUGCUGGGAUGCACUGACCCCUUGGCGCAAUAUGACUCUGUAUUGCCAGGGUGUUCUUAUUGGCCAAGUGAUCAGGAGAAAGACUGUUACAACAGAUGCAUCGAGCACAGACUUUCUCCCAGACAUUCUCCACCAUCACGUUCUCAUCAGGACGGACAGCAUGACAAUAGUAGCAUCUAUAAAUCACCAAGGGGGCGUAAGCUCGCGGCCGCUGCUGUGGCUGGCAAAAGAACUUCUUCUGUGGGCAGAUCUACACCUCCUCUCCAUCAGGGCAGUACAUGUCCUCAGAUGCCUGAAUUACGGCACGGACUUACUGUCGUGGGGCGGGGUAAUCCACAGGGAGUGCAGAUUACACCCUUUUAA